UACAGGAAUUGCAUUUAAUUGAUCUACCACAGUUGAGGCAUAUAUGGAACAAGGAUCCUCAAGGAAUUUUGAGUUUUGAAAACCUAAAACUACUGAAGGUUUAUAACUGUAGCAGCUUGACAAAUAUAUUAACUCUUCCAAUGGCUUUGGGGCUUGUGCGACUAGAGCAUAUGGAAGUAGAGGGAUGCAUUUUGUUGGAGCAGAUCAUCAACAAAGAAGGGGAAAAGGAAGAUGAAGGAGAGUGGGAUAAGACCAUAUUCCCUUCAUUACACACCAUCAAUCUUGA
rnacentral:misc_RNA from 1 species